AAACUUCUUAACACAAGGUCUUGGUCUUAAACCUACUAUUAUCUAAGUUCCCUAAUUAUACAUGCAAGCCUCAACAUGACAGUGAAACAGCCCACCACAAUGCAACGGAGCAGGUAUCAGGCCUAUCGCCCACGACACCAAGCAACUUUAGCCACACCCCCACGGGUCCACAGCAGUAGUUAACAUUAGGCAAUAAGCGCAAGCUUGACCCAGUAACAGAACCUCAGGGCCGGUUAAUCUCGUGCCAGCGACCGCGGUUACACGACAGACCCAAGACAAUACUACCGGCGUAAAGCACGACUAAAACCUAAGUUUUUCCCAUUAGGACUAAAAACAAACUAGGCUGUAAAAAGCCAUAAGUGGCACUAAAAACAUAGCCCUAAUGCCCAAACAACUUCGACUCGUGAAAGCCAGGAUACAAACUAAGAUUAGAUACCUUACUAUGCCUGACCCUAACUAAACAAUCAAAUAACCAAUUGUUCGCCAAAUAACUACGAGUAAAAACUUAAAAUUUAAAAGACUUGACGGUACUUCACACCGACCUAGAGGAGCCUGUCCAAUAACCGAUGAUCCACGAUUAACCCAACCCACCCUAGCCCAACAGUCUAUAUACCGCCGUCGCCAGCUUACCUUGUGAAAGAAACAAAGUAAGCCCAACAAUAUCACAUCAAUACGACAGGUCGAGGUGUAACUAAUGGGUGGGACCGAGAUGGGCUACAUUUUCUCCCCAGAAAAAACGAACAGACUAUGAAACUAGAAACUGAAGGCGGAUUUAGCAGUAAGCUGAGAAUAGAUAUGCCCAGCUGAAGUCAACGUAAUGGAGUGCGCACACACCGCCCGUCAUCCCUGCAAAACACACAACCUAUCUAUAAUCAACCACCACUUAAUUAAACAGGGCAAGUCGUAACAUGGUAAGCGUACUGGAAAGUGUGCUUAG
rnacentral:ncRNA from 1 species